UACAGAGGGGGCAAGCGUUAUUCGGAAUUAUUGGGCGUAAAGCGCACGUAGGCGGUCCAGCAAGUCGGGUGUGAAAGCCCUCGGCUUAACCGAGGAAGUGCAUUCGAAACUACUGGACUUGAAUACUGAAGAGGAUCGCGGAAUUCCCGGUGUAGAGGUGAAAUUCGUAGAUAUCGGGAGGAACACCAGUGGCGAAGGCGGCGAUCUGGGCAGAUAUUGACGCUGAUGUGCGAAAGCGUGGGGAGCAAACAGG
rnacentral:rRNA from 1 species